CAUGAGGAAUACCGCCGAGUCGCGAGGCGAACGAACGGAAUCUUAAUUCUCGGCGUUAGACGCUCGAUCGGCAAGGAUCUGGUUCCUUAAUGAAAUCCCGGUCGGGCUCGAAAAAGCGUAAAAAACUGUGAUAUUACGUCGAGCAGACUUUCAACCACGGCCACGAUCCUCGUCUUCUUACAUCAUCGCUUUCGUUUUCUACUCGCAUUGGGUAGAAUCGUAAAGUGAUUUAAAUGAUGUUCUCCCAAGAACUCGACUCCAAGAAGUUUACGUCUAGUCAGAUUAGGAAUAUUCUCUAAUCCCAGUAUCGGCUGAUAAGUUGUUACGGCACUGGCGCAUUCAAACCGGUUUUACUCGAUCACGAGACUUUAGGCGAUCGUUUGCGACGUGGGCGAGAUAAAAAGAGACAGAGAGAGAGAGAGAGAGAGAGAGAGAAUAAAACUACCUAUCUUAAGAAUUUUAAAAAUAUUAAGAGAAGAUUCUUCAUCGUAUACAUCCAAAUGAUGAACAUAUUCAAACAAACGAUGAGCCCAGCGGCGGCUAACGGAAGCGGAUGGCAGACGGAACGAAACGUCACGGACGAUAGCAAAAAAAUUACAAAAUUACUUUAUCCCGAAUUCGUGAGGGCUCCUUAAUUUUUCACUAACUUCCGCCGCGACGGAAAAAGUUGAAAUUAUGCCGACUACGUAGGGGUACAUAGGCACGUUUAAGCGGAUAGAUACAUACAUAUAUAUACACAAGUAUAUACGGUGGCGCGUCGAAGCGUGAGGGGCAUACGAUUCGCUUGCUCGCUGGCUCGUUGGUUCGCGGACGAGCGGUUACUCGCGUUGCGGGUAUUCGCCGCGCAUUCCCGCCGCUAGUAUUCUAGUAUUCUGUGCCGUGCUCGGGGCACCCUCGGAACUACGGGCCUACGUGACCGGCAUUGCCAGCAACGCUCUUUCGAGAAAGGCGCCUUCCAAUCCACGAAUUGCAAAAUAUUCCACAAUUACGGAACUCGCCGCGCGACGUACGUGGCGUUCCUUCGCUACGCGACCAAUCGACAUCGAUCUCAUCGACUGUUUCUUCCAGGGGUGAAUAAAAC
rnacentral:misc_RNA from 1 species